AUCUUGUGGUGAGGACAUAUACAAAGUAACUCAUUGAAUCUUUCCCAUGCUUCGUAUAAGGAUUCAUCACCCAUGUGUUGAAAAGUGGUGAUCUCAUUUCGCAACUU
rfam:Gossypium arboreum cultivar AKA8401 contig_31231_3, whole genome shotgun sequence.